GUGUUCGGCCAAGAACCUGAGAAACAUCUCAGAGCUGUUCUACUACGCCCAGAAGGCUGUCCUGCACCCCACAGCCCCUCUCUAUGACCCUGAGGCCAAGCAGGCACUGACGCGCAUCUUCAGGCUCUCAGAUCAGGACCUGGACCAGGCGCUCAGUGACGAAGAGCUCAACGCUUUCCAGAAAUCCUGCUUUGGGCACCCCCUGGCCCCACAGGCCCUGGAGGACGUGAAGACGGUGGUGUGCAGGAACGUGGCGGGCGGCGUGUGGGAGGACCGACUGACCCUGGAUGCGCGGGCGGCACGAGACCACGUGGACCAUCCUGCGGCGCUUCGGCUACAGCGAUGCACUGGAGCUGACAGCCGACUAUCUCUUCCCUCCGCUCCACGUGCCCCCCGGCUGCAGCACUGAGCUCAACCACCUUGGCUACCAGUUUGUGCAAAGAGUAUUUGAGAAGCACGACCAGGUGAGAGCAUGGCGACUCCCCUGCCCCUGCCCCCGCCCCCUCCCCGGCACACACAUCACCGCAUCCCUCCUUCUGCAGGACCGAGACGGCGCCCUCUCGCCUGUGGAGCUGCAAAGCCUCUUCAGUGUGUUCCCAGCAGCCCCCUGGGGCCCCGAGCUCCCACGCACAGUCCGCACAGAGGCCGGCCGGUUGCCCCUGCACGGAUACCUCUGCCAGUGGACGUAAGUGCGGCCCACACCAUGCCCGCCCGCCGCACCACCCUUGCCACCGUAACACUGUGCCUCCCGCCCACCCCCAGCCUGGUGACCUACCUGGACGUCCGGAGCUGCCUUGGGCACCUAGGCUACCUGGGCUACCCCACCCUUUGUGAGCAGGACUCCCAGGCCCAUGCCAUCACAGGUAGGUACCCACCCUCUCUGGGCCUGGGCCCAGCAUCCUGGCAGCCGCCCUAACCCGUGUCUAUCCUCACAGUCACCCGUGAGAAGAGGCUGGACCAGGAGAAGGGACAGACGCAGCGGAGCGUCCUCCUGUGCAAGGUGGUGGGGGCCCGUGGAGUGGGCAAGUCUGCCUUCCUGCAGGCCUUCCUCGGCCGCGGCCUGGAGGUAAGCACCCUAGACUCCCCCACCACCCCAGGGGCUCCAGGAGCAGGGCAGGGCAAUCUGGGGGGCACUGGAGCCAGCGAGUGUCAGGACUUCACCUCCCUUAGCACCAGGACACGAGGGAGCAGCCUCCCGGCUAUGCCAUCGACACAGUGCAGGUCAACGGGCAGGAGAAGUACUUGAUCCUCUGUGAGGUGGGCACAGAUGGUCUGCUGGCCACAUCGCUGGACGCCGCCUGUGACGUUGCCUGCUUGAUGUUUGAUGGCAGUGACCCAAAGUCCUUUGCACAUUGUGCCAGCGUCUACAAGCACCAUUACAUGGACGGGCAGACCCCCUGCCUCUUCGUCUCCUCCAAGGCCGACCUGCCCGAAGGUGUCGCGGUGUCUGGCCCAUCGCCAGCCGAGUUUUGCCGCAAGCACCGGCUACCCGCUCCCAUGCCG
rnacentral:sRNA from 1 species